rnacentral:rRNA from 1 species
UACGUAGGGUGCAAGCGUUUGUCCGGAAUUAUUGGGCGUAAAGAGCUCGUAGGCGGUCUGUCGCGUCUGCUGUGAAAACUCGGGGCUUAACCCCGGGCCUGCAGUGGGGUACGGGCAGACUAGAGUGCGGUAGGGGGAGACUGGAAUUCCUGGUGUAGCGGUGAAAAUGCGCAGAUAUCAGGAGGAACACCGGUGGCGAAGGCGGGUCUCUGGGCCGUAACUGACGCUGAGGAGCGAAAGCGUGGGGAGCGAACAGG